GGAGGCAGGUAGCCUAGUGGUUAGAGGAGGCAGGUAGUCUAGUGGUUAGAGGAGGCAGGUAGCCUAGUGGUUAGAGGAGGCAGGUAGCCUAGUGGUUAGAGGAGGCAGGUAGCCUAGUGGUUAGAGGAGGCAGGUAGUCUAGUGGUUAGAGGAGGCAGGUAGCCUAGUGGUUAGAGGAGGCAGGUAGCCUAGUGGUUAGAGGAGGCAGGUAGCCUAGUGGUUAGAGGAGGCAGGUAGUCUAGUGGUUAGAGGAGGCAGGUAGCCUAGUGGUUAGAGGAGGCAGGUAGCCUAGUGGUUAGAGGAGGCAGGUAGCCUAGUGGUUAGAGGAGGCAGGUAGCCUAGUGGUUAGAGGAGGCAGGUAGCCUAGUGGUUAGAGGAGGCAGGUAGCCUAGUGGUUAGAGGAGGUAGGUAGCCUAGUGGUUAGAGGAGGCAGGUAGCCUAGUGGUUAGAGGAGGCAGGUAGCCUAGUGGUUAGAGGAGGCAGGUAGCCUAGUGGUUAGAGGAGGCAGGUAGCCUAGUGGUUAGAGGAGGCAGGUAGCCUAGUGGUUAGAGGAGGCGGGUAGCCUGGUGGUUAGAGGAGGCAGGUAGCCUGGUGGUUAGAGGAGGCAGGUAGCCUAGUGGUUAGAGGAGGCAGGUAGCCUAGUGGUUAGAGGAGGUGGGUAGCCUAGCGGUUAGAGGAGGCGGGUAGCCUAGUG